CAGCAGGCUAUAGGGGGUGAUAAAGAUGAUUGUAUGGGAGGCCUUGACACCAGGGGAGUUGAGAAAUCAGAGCUAGGGACCUGAAUUUGAUCCAGACUAACACAGCUGCUACUCUGAAACUUCUCUCAGGAUGAAAGUGAAUAAUGAAUGCCAAUCCCCAGGUCUGUUGAUAUAGCCUCCUUCAGCAACACUACCUGCUAUUUUUGAAAAAUCUAUGUGAGGGGACUGUGUCUGAGGCACUUGUACUUCAUUUCCUCAAGGGGUGAUAGAAGAAUUGUAAGGCAGCACUGAAGUCACCCACUCUGAAUUGACCUGUUCUGCUCUUGAAAUGGAGCAUUGGUUUCUAACUGAAUAAUUGACUGAUUCAAUGAUCAGCUCUUAGGAUCCUACUUGAAUUGCUUAUCCAAUACUUCAAGAGCCUCUUUUGUAAGAAGGUGCUAUAUAAAUAAAUGGGUGAUUAAUUGUAAA